GUCCCAGUUCGGAUUGUAGUCUGCAACCCGGCUACAUGAAGCUGGAAUCGCUAGUAAUCGCGGAUCAGAAUGCCGCGGUGAAUACGUUCCCGGGUCUUGUACACACCGCCCGUCACACCAUGGGAGUCGGAAAUGCCCGAAGUCUGUGACCCAACCUCAGGGAGGGAGCAGCCGAAGGCAGGUCGGAUGACUGGGGUGAAGUCGUAACAAGGUAAC
rnacentral:rRNA from 1 species